UAAGUGGUUCAGCGCGGGGGUGAGACGGCAUCGCACGCCGUUUAUUUCGUGCGCCCACUCUCGCACGCUGCACACUCAAGCAACCGCGCUGCGACUUUCACCUACCCUCAAUUCAGGUGCCGUCGCCGCCGCCGCCGCCUGCACCACCUUAUUUGCUCCCGCGACCCGAUGGCGCUUCCCCGGUCUAUCCCUACGCCGCUGCUGCUUCCUCCGUGUCCCUCUAGUCACCGUCGCCCCUAGCGCGCAUCAUUCCUCCGACGAACAACGCCCGGCCGCCCACUGCCGCUCGACGCCCACAAGGUGUUCGACAAAACGCUUGCAAGAAGUGGAGAUCAUUGACUAAGGAUGGGGACCUUGAGGCGUUCGACGAUAUGCUAUCCAAAAUGAAAUCUACUGCUUCUUCUCUACUGCGACGGUCCAGGAGGACGGUUUCUUAGUGUUUCAAUUGCUCGUUUGGCUGGCCUGCAUGCCAUGAUAGGCUGGAUGCCUUGUACCCAUACUUUCUAGUCAUACUGUGUUAAACUUAUAUGGUUUCUUUCUGGUGGUUGUGACUCUGCCUGGUGGCUUUAUCUAUAAAGUCGGGCUCUCGCCUUUUAUCUAAAAAAAAGUAUGAACUUUUCACAAA